CAAUGGGAAUUCCGGUACAGGGUUUCAAAUCAGCAUGCCUUGCUGCAAGCUCAGGUUGUGGCCGUUACUAUUUAUGUUUUCUGAACGUUUUAUAUUUUUCACAUUUCAGACCCUCUACAUUUCCAUAAGCAGUGCACAAGGAAGAUAGAAGACUUUAACAAAUAGAAUGCUGUCCCCAGCGAGGUCUGCCUGGCGAAAUGUUAAUUUCAGAGCCAGAUCAUUCAGGUUAUAAUCACAGCAAGGUCCCUACCAGUGAAGAAGUGAGCAGUGUGCAAGUUUAUCCCUGGUUGGAGCUAUCGAAUGAUGCUGUUUCAUUACAAGAUGCCUCAUUCCAAGGAGUUUGUGGGUUUAUAGACCUUAUUAAUUUUUAAAAACUGUAUCCAAGUUUUGAAAAUGAAGUAGUCAAAUUUCCAACUUGGAAAGAGAAAAAUCAAGAGUAAUUGAAAAAGCUGUUCAAAUAAACAGGAAAUUCUAGGUAUGAUCCAGCCAAAUCCCACUGAUUUCAAUGGGAGUAAAAAAAACAGACUUAAAGUUAUCCCAUGGAAAUCACCAAGAUUUAAAAAUUGUUCACUUUGGCUAAAUUAAGUUCUUUGAUUGAUAAAAACCACUUUUUCAAAAUCAA